GCUGGGCAUGGUGGCGCAUGCCUGUAGUCCCAGCUACUUGGGAGGCUGAGGCAGGAGAAUCGCUUGAACCCAGGAGGCAGAGGUUGCAGUGAGCUUAAAUGGCACCACUGCACUCCAGCCUGGGUGACAGAGUGAGACUCCAUCUCAA
rnacentral:sRNA from 1 species